GGCCUAGCCUCGAACCCCUACCAUCGAAGGCAGUGGGGCUACUCUUGUCGGAGAGGUCCUCGAAAUGGUUCCAUCUCUUGAGAGCACCAUCGGAUGCAAAGUUUCGUACAGCAGUGGUGCUCGUCUGGAUCUUAUCAGUGAUUGAGAAUGCUCUUUCCAUGGACAAAUUAAAUUCAAAUAUUAUAAAUUUAAAUAAAUUUAAUAAAUUUAAAUUUAAAUAUUAAAAAUUUAAAGAGGAAGAAACAAUGUGUGGCGA
rnacentral:lncRNA from 1 species